rnacentral:rRNA from 1 species
UACGUAGGCAGCGAGCGUUGUUCGGAGUUACUGGGCGUAAAGGGUGUGUAGGCGGUUCUUUAAGUUUGGGGUGAAAUCUCCCGGCUCAACUGGGAGGGUGCGCCGAAUACUGAGGGACUAGAGUACGGGAGAGGAAAGUGGAAUUCCUGGUGUAGCGGUGAAAUGCGUAGAUAUCAGGAGGAACACCGGUGGUGUAGACGGCUUUCUGGACCGAGACUGACGCUGAGGCGCGAAAGCGUGGGGAGCAAACAGG